rnacentral:misc_RNA from 1 species
AAGUCGUAACAAGGUAACCGUAGGUGAACCUGCGGUUGGAUCAUUAAUAAAUAUAGAAGGUCUUCAAGACCUCUCUAACAUGUUUAUGUCUCUCGUGUGUUUCGGCACACUAGUAAACUUUGUAAACUAAUUUGUCUUUAAACUAUAAAAAAAGUAAUUAAAACAACUUUUGACAACGGAUCUCUAGGCUCUCA